UACGUAGGGGGCGAGCGUUGUCCGGAUUUAUUGGGCGUAAAGAGCGUGUAGGCGGCCAGGUAGGUCUGCUGUGAAAACUCGAGGCUCAACCUCGAGACGUCGGCGGAAACCAUCUGGCUAGAGUCCGGAAGAGGAGACGAGUACUCGGUGUAGCGGUGAAAUGCGCAGAUAUCAGGAAGGAACACCCGUAGCGGAAGGCGGCUCUGGCGCACUACUGACGCUGAGAAGCGAAAGCGUGGGGAGCGAACAGG
rnacentral:rRNA from 1 species